CCUACCAAUAUGCUGAUUGCCAGUGUGCUGAAGGCAGUCAUAGCCUCCAUCUGUCUUGGAUCCAGCAUGACCCAGAAAGUAAUUCAAGCCCAGUCUGCAAUUUCUGUGGUGGAGAAGGAGGCUGUGGCCUUGAACUGUGCAUAUGAAGUUAGCAGUUACAAUUAUUAUUUGUUCUGGUACAAACAACCACCAAGUGGGAAAAUGACUUUUCUUAUUCACCAGGAGUCUUAUAAAGAGCAAAAUACCACAGAGGGUCGAUAUUCUCUGAACUUCCAGAAAUCAGCCAGUUCCAUCAGCCUCACCAUCACAGACUCACAGCUCAGGGACUCAGCGGUGUAUUUCUGUGCUUUGAGAGAUGCCACAGUGAUGUGGGUGCCUGUGGGGGCCCCGCAAAAUCAUCAACAUGAGAGAGAAGCCCUGGGGAGGGACUCCAUCACAGACAGGAUGAAGCAGGGGCUGUGUCAACACAGGUGGGGGGCUGGCAAGGAAACUUUAGUUCAAUUCAUACAGAAUGUGUAGAUAUAUCAUCCAUUAAAAGCAAAGGGAUCUCUCAUUCUUUAGAACACAUUAAGAUAGAAUAUA